CUUGAACGCUGGCGGCAGGCCUAACACAUGCAAGUCGAGCGGGGUUUUCGGACCUAGCGGCGGACGGGUGAGUAAUGCGUAGGAAGCUGCCCGAUAGAGGGGGAUACCAGUUGUAAACGACUGUUAAUACCGCAUAAUGUCUACGGACCAAAGUGUGGGACCUUCGGGCCACAUGCUAUCGGAUGCGCCUACGUGGGAUUAGCUAGUUGGUGAGGUAAUGGCUCACCAAGGCGACGAUCUCUAGCUGGUUUGAGAGGAUGAUCAGCCACACUGGAACUGAGACACGGUCCAGACUCCUACGGGAGGCAGCAGUGGGGAAUAUUGGACAAUGGGCGCAAGCCUGAUCCAGCCAUGCCGCGUGUGUGAAGAAGGCCUUCGGGUUGUAAAGCACUUUCAGCGAGGAGGAAGGGAUGUAUGUAAAUAGCAUGCAUUUUUGACGUUACUCGCAGAAGAAGCACCGGCUAACUCUGUGCCAGCCGCCGCCGUAAUAC
rnacentral:rRNA from 1 species